GGACAGAGGAAGGAUUUAUAAUUAUAAGCCCUUUUUAAAAAUUUUUUGAUGUUUAUUUAUUCAUUCAAAAAUUUUUAUGUUCAUUUAAUUUUGAGAGAGAGAGGUCACAAGUGGAGGAGACACAGAGAGAGAGAGGGAGACAUAGGAUCUGAGCAGGCCCCAGACUCUGAGCUGUCGGCACAGAGCCCGAUACAGGGCUUGAAUUCAUGAACUGUGAGAUCAUGACCUGAGCCGAAUUUGGGUGCUUAACCGACUGAGCCACCCAGGCGCCCAUUAUGUUUACUUAUUUUUUGAGAGAUAGCGUGAGCAGGGGAGGGGCAGAGAGAGAGGGAGAUACAGAACCCGAAGCAGGCUCCAGGCUCUGAGCUGUCAGCACAGAGCUCGAUGUGGGGCUUGAACUCAUGAACUGUGAGAUCGUGACCUGAGCUGAAGUUGGACACUUAGCCGACUAAGCCACCCAGGCACUCCAGUUAUAAGCCCUUUGUAUUAAACGCUCGAAGAAAGGGAGGUCAGGAGUCUACUGUCAGGCAUUGGCCAAAACAGUCGAUUCUCCUGGCAGUGCUGAGCAUUCGGUGGGGCUGGGUCAUCCCAGGGACAAGGCCUUCCACUGUCAAAGCCCUGCUGGAAUGUGGCCAUCUCACUGAUAGAAGCAGGGUCUCCGGGUACCAUUUGAGCUGAGACCCAAGAGGAAAGGAGCCAGCGGAGGGCAGUUCUGAGGUAAGAGCAUCUGAGGAAGAGAGGGCAGCAUAUGCAGAGGCCUGGAGCAAGUUCAUAGGCAAGCCCGAAGGUCAGCGUGUCAGGCUGGCGGGGUCCAACAAGGUGAGGACAGAGUCCUAAGGAGACACAGGCAACUCAGGCCCUAGUUCUAGAGUUUGGAUUUUUUUUUUUUAAUUAACAGAAAAGUUUUAGGUUUAAAGAAAGUUGAGCAAAAAGUGCAGAGAGCUCCCGUAUAUGUGCCCCUCACCCCAUUCUUAUUACUAACAUCUUAUUAAUAGUAAGUUUCUCUUAUUAUUAACAUCUUGAUGCAGUGAAUUCGUUCCAAGUGAUGAACCAGCUUUAACGCGUUAUUCCUAACUAAAGUGCAUAGUUUUCAUUAGGGGUCCCCCUUCGUGUUGUGCACUCUUGACCUUGACAAGUGCAGAAUGCUAAUGUGGAGUCUGGAUUUUAUUCUUUGGUGAAGGGCUUGGAGCAGGAAUUCAACGGGAACUGAUGGAAACGUUAAAUCCCGGGGGGCGGGGGGUGGGGGGGGUUGCAGGCAUUCCAGCGAGAAGAUCGUGGUGGAAGGAAGGAAAGGGUGAGAUAACCUGGGGAGAGAGCACCUGCAGGGUUCGCUCAGCAGCCGGAUUUGGACAAUGAGUGAAGGAUGAGGAAUUGAGGGCGAUCGUCUCGUUGGCUUGAGCUUUGGGGCUGAUGGUGAGACCAUUAACCAGGGCGAAGGUUAGAGGAGGGAGCAGGAGCAGGAAGACCGGGGGAGACCGGGUUAGGGUUCGUUCACCUGUCGCCGCCCAAGCACCUCCCUGGUGCCGGGCACGGAGCUGUGGCCUCCGUGAACCAAAAACAGGUCGCGUGCAGGCCCCAGCUGUACAAACGAGGAACCGAGUCUCAGAGCGGUUAAGGGUGACUGGGACACAGGGGACCUGGGAGCCGAGCCAGGCCCCGGGUGGACUCGCGGCCGCCCCCCCCCCCCUCCCCCGA